GGCGGGGCAUAAUUGGGAGCCGUCUGAUGCUGAUCGUACGUUGAAUGAUACGAUUGCGUCUGAGAAGGAGAUUGAUAAGGCACAUGAGACUCAAACGGAGGGAAAGCAGGUGGUUGAGGAGUGGGAUUGAAUGUCUGGAGAUUAGGAUUCGAUGAAGGAGGGUUGUAAAGAGGAGCAGUCGGAGAGGCAGGGAGGGGAUCGGGAUUCUGGGAGUAAGGGGGAUAAUUAGGGGCAUAACCCGGGUAAUCGGAGGCACCAUAAUUGGUGGAGAAGGGCGG
rnacentral:misc_RNA from 1 species